UUUCUACUCCCUCUGUCCGGAAAUACUUGUCAUCAAAAUGGAUAAAAGGAAAUGUACAUUUACUUUUAUCCAUUUUGAUGACAAGUAUUUCUGGACGGAGGGAGUAUUUG
rfam:Triticum urartu cultivar G1812 contig69453, whole genome shotgun sequence.